CUUGCCCCUAGAGAUGCUGCAGGUGUGGCUGCUGUGUCACGUGUGCAUCAGUAGCUGGCAGAGAGGAAAGGGAAUACACCUAUGCUCACUGUUCUGACCCGUGAACAUCUGGGGAGUAUUCUAACACU